UUCAAGUCCCCAGUACCACAUCUUUUCUCUUCACACACACCUCACAGCAGCAAGUCGUGGAGGCUGACCAGUGAGUAGCAGCAGUGCCUCAUGUCCACCGCCUUAGUGUCGCGUGAAGGAAGCCCCGCGCUGCCUGCCUGCCUCCUCACAAUGCCUGGCCGUCAUACCUCAACCCUGCCGCCUUUGCAUAAACGCUGCCUGCACACCUGUCAUGGAAGGACCAGGCGCUCGACUGAUAAGAAGCACUGCCAGCCUGCCAGGGAGAUUUACGCCCACCGCCACGUGGGAGAGAUGGUGCUUGCUCUUUCCUUCUUUUGUUCGUUCAUGUCUUCAAUCUUCGCUCGCUUCGCUCAAACCCAAUAAAUACUUUAAGUAUGAUAUUCUCUUCGCCUUGACUGAGAAACAGAUCUACUUAACCUUAUGACUGAUUAAAAAAAAAAUAAUAAUAAUGUGAGGAACGCUACAACUAUU